GUUCCCUCCCAACUAUCAAAAUAGCUCUCUUCUGUGUAAUUCUUCUCAUAUACCUAACCCUAAAAAUAAAAAUUCAAAAAAUUCUGUGAAAUGGAACGAAGGUCAUUUGAGUUUGUGGUGACAAACCCUAAAUUUCUCCGUCUUGUGUUGUGUCGACUCCUUUUCUCCCAUAGAAAAUGGUAAAUGCAUCUCCAUUUAUCCUCCUCAAUCACGCCACUUGUAUUCUCCAUCUCGCUUGUUCGCGUUCGUUUGCAACCUUCCCCUCCAUUACAUCAUACUUUCCUCUCUUCGAGCGAUGCAACUCUCCUUCUCAACUGUGAUAGGUUUUCUGCUCCAUUGUGAUUUCUUCUGAUUAGCGGUUUAGAAAUUGGGGUUUCUGAUUUGGGAUUUUUGAUAUUCGGUGGCUUAGUUGAGAUUGAUGGUAGAGAAAAUUUCCUCAAUAACUUGUAGAGUUUUAGAGCUAAAAUGCGUUGUUGGUUGAAUUGUAGAGGUGUUGCUGAUUGAUUUGGUUGUGUUAUGCAUCCUCAUUUGACAUUGAACGAACACCCUGUGUGCACUAGACUUUCUUUUUGUUGGCUCAACAGAAUGAAGAUCUAUGCCUUUUGUGUCAAGGAAUACAUUGAUCCUCAUCUACGUGGAGAUUAUAAGGAGGGUGAACUAGAAUUUAGAUAUAUACUUUAUGUUCUCGCCUAUACUCCAUUAGGGAAGGAUGACGUAAUCAAUUUCAAGACCAAGAAUAUAAGAAAUUAGGUGAAGAGAUUCUUCUUUUGAGACGACUUUCAUGGAAAACUGUGCAGUUUAGUGUUGUGCUAAGGGUUGCGGUGCAUGAAGAGAGACUGUGUCAAUACCAACGACAACACCAUGGAGGAGCAAGACUCCACAAUUUGCAUAAUCAUCCACUCUGAGUUUCUCAAACUCAAGUCUCUUAUAUAUUUAAUAAACGCUAGAUUUGACAAAUUCGAUUCAACUCAGAGCGAGUUUGAUGAGUUUACCUUAAUAAGUUAAGAAGCCUCGAGAACAAGUUGCAGACGCUAAAAUACUUCUCAAUUUUACUCAAAGUUUGGCUGGAUAUGUUAAAUCUCUUGUGAAUGAAGGCUUGGUAGCAUCAAAAAUCAGUUGAAACAGUGCAAAACAAUAGUGUCUAGAAAGAAAGCAUCUAACUUAGCCACAACUGCUAAGCCUGAACAGAUCACAAAUUCAUAUCUUUAUUUUUUUUUCUUAUGCUUAGUUUGCUUCAAUUUUAUUUAGAUUACACCUUCAUGGAUGUUGGUUGCAUAGAAGGUCCCUUAAUAGUAUCUCUUUCCUUAAAAUUGUCAAAAGUCAAAAUGUUUCUCUUGUUUUCCCUUUUUUUAGCAUCAAAGUUAUUUCGAUCAAAUGUAUAUUAUUGUAAAUUGUAAAUUCUAGUAGUGGUACUGAAAUCGUAAAUAUUCAUAUGUUGGCUUUAUGCCCCGAUAUGUGUCUUUGUAUGUGGUAAAGAAUAAUUAUGAUUGUUUGUUCGGUUGUCUUGAUAUGUGGCUUUAUGUCGGGAUAUUGUGAAUCCACUGUUUCAUUUUAUUUAUUCUGCUUCUGUUGAACUUAACCAUAAUCAUGGAUAUUUGUCUCUAAUUGUUUGGCUCCUUGUACCCAUAUGCCAAGUCAUGAACCUCUAAAUGUGAUGUUCUGUCUGUAAGAGGAUACUUGUGUAGAAAUUUGUGUGCCAUCAGAGGCAUUGAUAGAGUGAUUUUCAAACUUGAUCAUAACAUGGUUGUGGAUAGGUGUUUCAAAAUUGAUGUAUAUUUCUCUUCUUUUUGAUAUAUGAAUAAUAACUUACAUAACUUUGGUUGGAGUAUUGCAUUUGCAGUUCUGGGAAGUAACAAUGUUUCUCUUGUUUUCUCUUUGAUUAAACAACAUAGAUAUUCCCAUUAAAUGUGUACUAUUGUAAAUUUCAGUAGUAAUAUUGAAAUUGUAAUAUUUCAUAUGCCGAUUUUAUUCAUUGGUUAGCUUUAUGUCCUAAUAUGUGUAUUUGUGCAGUAAAGAAUAAUUAUGAUUGUUUUUUCUACUGUCACAGGUUUAUGGGCAAGAUGAAUGGACUUUUUGAUACUGGGAGCAAAGUACUAAAGUUUUUAGCUGCAAUUCUGGAUAGAAUCCAAUGUACACAUAUUGUGAAUUCAAAAUUUCAUUAAAUUUAUUCUAGUUCUAUUGAAUUUUACCAUGAGGUGAAAAAUACUUUAGGUGAUGUAAUACCCUUAAAGAUGAUUUACAGUACAGAAGAUUCAAGUGUGUAGGAAAUAUAUUGACACUUUUGGACAUAGAGCAUUAAAAUAUAAAUCUAGUGUUACAAGGUUCUUCAAGAUAAUUUACAGUGUAGAAUUAUCAAGUUUGUUGGAAAUAUAUUGACAUUUCUGGAAAAAGAACAUCACAAUAUAAAUCUAUUGCCACAAGGUAAUGAAUCACACCUCUUUUCUAAUUCAUUUUGAUUUGCAUUAUAGGGUAUAGUGGAAGAGAUAGGUGGUUAGAACUAAUGACAUUAUUUAUUUAUUUUUUUAACAUUAAAUAUAUGUAUGAUGAUGCAGCCAAUAUGUGGUCAACAAAAGGAGAAAAGAAACUAUUGAUCUUUGGCACUUCAUAGUAUUAAUCAUUAAUU